GAGUCCUACGAGAGUUUCCUGGGCCUGCUAAGCCAAAGGAAUUGUGGUUUAACUCCAUGAAGAACUCG
rnacentral:tRNA from 2 species